rnacentral:rRNA from 1 species
UAAGGAAUUUUGGACAAUGGGCGCAAGCCUGAUCCAGCAAUGCCGCGUGCAGGAUGAAGGCCUUCGUGUUGUAAACUGCUUUCGUACGGAGCGAAAAGGUCUGCCCUAAUACGGUGGGCUCAUGACGGUACCGUAAGAAUAAGCACCGGCUAACUACGUGCCAGCAGCCGCGGUAAUACGUAGGGUGCGAGCGUUAAUCGGAAUUACUGGGCGUAAAGCGUGCGCAGGCGGUUAUGCAAGACAGAUGUGAAAUCCCCGGGCUCAAUCUGGGAACUGCAUUUGUGACUGCAUAGCUGGAGUGCGGCAGAGGGGAGUGGAAUUCCGCGUGUAGCAGUGAAAUGCGUAGAUAUGCGGAGGAACACCGAUGGCGAAGGCAAUCCCCUGGGCCUGAACUGACGCUCAUGCACGAAAGCGUGGGGAGCAAACA